rnacentral:rRNA from 1 species
AACGAACGCUGGCGGCAGGCUUAACACAUGCAAGUCGAACGAGAUCUUCGGAUCUGGUGGCAGACGGGUGAGGAACACGUGGGAACAUCCCUUUCAGUUCGGAAUAACGUUGGGAAACUAACGCUAAUACCGGAUACGUCCUUCGGGAGAAAGAUUUAUCGCUGAAAGAUUGGCCCGCGUCUGAUUAGCUAGUUGGUGAGGUAAUGGCUCACCAAGGCUACGAUCAGUAGCUGAUCUGAGAGGAUGAUCAGCCACAUUGGGACUGAGACACGGCCCAAACUCCUACGGGAGGCAGCAGUGGGGAAUAUUGGACAAUGGGCGCAAGCCUGAUCCAGCCAUGCCGCGUGAGUGAUGAAGGCCUUCGGGUUGUAAAGCUCUUUUAUCCGGGAAGAUAAUGACUGUACCGGAAGAAUAAGCCCCGGCAAACUUCGUGCCAGCAGCCGCGGUAAAAC